UACAGAGGGUGCGAGCGUUAAUCGGAAUUACUGGGCGUAAAGCGCGCGUAGGCGGCUUUGUAAGUCGGGUGUGAAAUCCCCAAGCUUAACUUGGGAACUGCAUUCGAGACUGCAUCGCUAGAGUAUGGGAGAGGGAAGUGGAAUUUCCGGUGUAGCGGUGAAAUGCGUAGAUAUCGGAAGGAACAUCAGUGGCGAAAGCGACUUCCUGGACCAAUACUGACGCUCAUGUGCGAAAGCGUGGGGAGCAAACAGG
rnacentral:rRNA from 1 species